AGAGUUUGAUCAUGGCUCAGAACGAACGCUGGCGGCAGUAACACAUGCAAGUCAAACGGGUGUAGCAAUACACAAGUGGCGCAAGGGUGAGAAACGCGUGGGAAUUUGCCUUUCAGUACGGAAUAACCACGGGAAACUGUGGCUAAUACCGUAUGGUCCCUUCGGGGUAAAGAUUUAUCGCUGAAAGAUGAGCCCGCGUCAGAUUAGCUAGUUGGUGGGGUAAAGGCCUACCAAGGCAACGAUCUGUAGCUGGUCUUAGAGGACGAUCAGCCACACUGGAACUGAGACACGGUCCAGACUCCUACGGGAGGCAGCAGUGGGGAAUAUUGGACAAUGGGGGAAACCCUGAUCCAGCCAUGCCGCGUGAGUGAUGAAGGCCUUCGGGUUGUAAAGCUCUUUUGUCAGGGAAGAUGAUGACGGUACCUGAAGAAUAAGCCCCGGCUAACUUCGUGCCAGCAGCCGCGGUAAUACGAAGGGGGCUAGCGUUGUUCGGAAUUACUGGGCGUAAAGGGCGCGUAGGCGGAUCGGCAAGUCAGAAGUGAAAUCCCUGGGCUCAACCCAGGAAUUGCUUUUGAGACUGCCAGUCUUGAGUACAGGAGAGGUGAGUGGAAUUCCCAGUGUAGAGGUAAAAUUCGUAGAUAUUGGGAGGAACACCAGUGGCGAAGGCGGCUCACUGGCCUGUAACUGACGCUGAGGCGCGAAAGCGUGGGGAGCAAACAGGAUUAGAUACCCUAGUAGUCC
rnacentral:rRNA from 1 species